rnacentral:rRNA from 1 species
GAUGAACGCUGGCGGCGUGCCUAAUACAUGCAAGUCGAGCGAACGGACGAGAAGCUUGCUUCUCUGAUGUUAGCGGCGGACGGGUGAGUAACACGUGGAUAACCUACCUAUAAGACUGGGAUAACUUCGGGGAACCGGAGCUAAUACCGGAUAAUAUUUUGAACCGCAUGGUUCAAAAGUGAAAGACGGUCUUGCUGUCACUUAUAGAUGGAUCCGCGCUGCAUUAGCUAGUUGGUAAGGUAACGGCUUACCAAGGCAACGAUGCAUAGCCGACCUGAGAGGGUGAUCGGCCACACUGGAACUGAGACACGGUCCAGACUCCUACGGGAGGCAGCAGUAGGGAAUCUUCCGCAAUGGGCGAAAGCCUGACGGAGCAACGCCGCGUGAGUGAUGAAGGUCUUCGGAUCGUAAAACUCUGUUAUUAGGGAAGAACAUAUGUGUAAGUAACUGUGCACAUCUUGACGGUACCUAAUCAGAAGGCCACGGCUAACUACGUG